UGAUGUCUGACUUUUUUUUAGUGACAACUUAUCUCUUCUGCUGAUUUUCUGAGUCUUUGCACAUGGGAGAAUCUAAUUGAGAACCUUUUUUUUAUUUUUAUUUUGUGUGGUCUGGAACAAAGUUGGAAUGUUCCUUUCUUAGCUGUACUAGUACCUGCUUAAAACAAGAAUAAAAUUGUAAAUCUUUGUUGUGGUUUCCCUGAAUGUUGAGCUGAUUUUGGACGAGACUAAUGGUGUGUGUGUGUGUAUAUGAUAAUCAAGCUUGUGGCAUUGUAGUUUGGAUAGACUGAUUCAGUUCUUUCUUUGUUUUGAUCUUUUCUUGCAGGAGCAUCAUGUCAAGACAUGCGAUGGUUUAGUUUCAGUUGUAGUCUAUGGAGACCAAGAGAAGCCAGCAUUGAUCACUUACCCAGAUGUAGCAUUAAAUUACUUGUCUUGCUUCCAAGGACUGUUUCUCUGCCCUGAAGCAGUGUCUUUGCUCCUCCAUAACUUCUGUCACGGAGUGGAGGAAGUCUUGUAGUUUUAUGUCUUGUUGUCUUGUAGCAUUUGGAGUAAGUCUUGUAGUUUUCAGUCAUGUUUGAUCACACACAUA